rnacentral:rRNA from 1 species
AUGUGGGAGAGAGAGGAGGUCCAUGGCGAAGAAGCUCUGCUCCAACCCUCCCUGCCUCCUAAUACAAGAUGUCUUUUUUUGUGUGUGCUUGUAUUGCAGCAGCCAUGCCAUGGAGGCGAUGAUGAGCACGAGGGGAAGGCCGCUGCUUCAACCCCGUUAAGCUUACGUGUGGGAUUUGCUUCGGAAGUUGUCCACGUGAGUCAAUGGGUGCUGCUUCAUGUGGGCAUCCUUUCUGUGGUGUAUGUUGGAGAGGUUACACACCUGAUGAUGUUUACAGCUAGGCGCAGGAACAAGCAGAGGCCGAGGAAGUGCAGGCACGCGCUGCUGGCCUUGGCAGGUGUAGGAACCGUGCGAGGAAGGUUCAGCGCGCUGCACAAGUCGGGCCACGCCCGAAGCGCCGCGCCAACGCAUGUGUGCGUGGUCGGUGGGUUAGCCAAGAUCUGCAUUCUGCGACUUCGUCUUCACCAUGGACACAAACAAGGACUGAUUGGUGGUUCUUGGUAG